UACAGAGGUCUCAAGCGUUGUUCGGAUUCCUUUGGCGUAAAGGGUGUGUAGGUGGCGCCGUAAGUCGGGUGUGAAAUUUCGGAGCUUAACUCCGAAACUGCAUUCGAUACUGCGGUGCUUGAGGACUGGAGAGGAGACUGGAAUUCAUGGUGUAGCAGUGAAAUGCGUAGAGAUCAUGAGGAAGACCAGUGGCGAAGGCGGGUCUCUGGACAGUUCCUGACACUGAGACACGAAGGCCAGGGGAGCAAACGGG
rnacentral:rRNA from 1 species